CUAGCGACUUCAGAGUUUGAUCCUGGCUCAGGACGAACGCUGGCGGCACGCCUAACACAUGCAAGUCGAACGGUGACGAUGGAGCUUGCUCCAUCUGAUCAGUGGCGGACGGGUGAGUAACACGUGAGCAACCUGCCUUCAGUGGGGGACAACAGUUGGAAACGACUGCUAAUACCGCAUAAUGUAUUUUUUAAGGCAUCUUUUAAAUACCAAAGAUUUAUCGCUGAAAGAUGGGCUCGCGUCUGAUUAGAUAGUUGGUGAGGUAACGGCUCACCAAGUCGACGAUCAGUAGCCGGACUGAGAGGUUGAACGGCCACAUUGGGACUGAGACACGGCCCAG
rnacentral:rRNA from 1 species